rnacentral:pre_miRNA from 1 species
CACUUACUCCCUCCGUUUCAAAUUACUCGUCGCAGAAAUGGAUGUAUCUAAAACUAAAAUACAUCUAGAUACAUCCAUACCUACGACAAGUAAUUCAGAACGGAGGGAGUACGUU